rnacentral:rRNA from 1 species
CCUACGGGUUGCAGCAGUGGGGAAUAUUGCACAAUGGGCGCAAGCCUGAUGCAGCCAUGCCGCGUGUGUGAAGAAGGCCUUCGGGUUGUAAAGCACUUUCAGCGAGGAGGAAGGUGGUGAGCUUAAUACGCUCAUCAAUUGACGUUACUCGCAGAAGAAGCACGGGCUAACUCCGUGCCAGCAGCCGCGGUAAUACGGAGGGUGCAAGCGUUAAUCGGAAUUACUGGGCGUAAAGCGCACGCAGGCGGUUUGUUAAGUCAGAUGUGAAAUCCCCGGGCUCAACCUGGGAACUGCAUUUGAAACUGGCAAGCUAGAGUCUCGUAGAGGGGGGUAGAAUUCCAGGUGUAGCGGCGAAAUGCGUAGAGAUCUGGAGGAAUACCGGUGGCGAAGGCGGCCCCCUGGACCAAGACUGACGCUCAGGUGCGAAAGCGUGGGGAGCAAACAGGAUUAGAUACCCCGGUAGUC